rnacentral:snRNA from 1 species
GGAUGGCCAUCUGACUGUGACAUCUGUCACCCCCUUGAUCACCAGGGUUGAUUUGGCUGAUCUGGGUGGCUAGGCAGGCUCUCCCUUCCUCCCUCGCUGCUCUAUGUGCAUCCCUCCCAAAGCUGUGGGCUUGGUGGAAGAGGAUAACCUUUCUGGGUAGAGUAUAUUUGAGUAGCUGCACUCCCCUGCUAGAACCACCAAACAAGUUCUCAAGAAUGAAGGUAUAGCUGGGCACAAUGGCACACACCUAUCAUCCUAGUUACUG